rnacentral:rRNA from 1 species
UGGGGAAUAUUGCACAAUGGAGGGAACUCUGAUGCAGCGACGCCGCGUGAACGAAGAAGGCUUUCGAGUCGUAAAGUUCUUUUAUAUGGGAAGAUAAUGACGGUACCAUAAGAAAAAGCCCCGGCUAACUACGUGCCAGCAGCCGCGGUAAUACGUAGGGGGCUAGCGUUGUCCGGAAUCACUGGGCGUAAAGGGUUCGCAGGCGGAAAUGCAAGUCAGGUGUAAAAGGCAGUAGCUUAACUACUGUAAGCAUUUGAACCUGCAUAUCUUGAGAAGAGUAGAGGUAAGUGGAAUUUUUAGUGUAGCGGUGAAAUGCGUAGAUAUUAAAAAGAAUACCGGUGGCGAAGGCGACUUACUGGGCUCAUUCUGACGCUGGGGAACGAAAGCGUGGGUAGCAAACAGG